GCUGGAUGCGGUGGCGCAGCACUUGUAGUCCCAGCUACCCAGGAGGCUGAGACAAGAGGAAUGCUUGAAUCCAGAGUUCUGGGCUGUAGUGCACUAUGCAGACUGGGUGUCCGCACUAAGUUCAGCAUCAAUAUGAUGACCUCCUGGGAGCGGGGGGCCACCAGGUUGCCUAAGAAGGGGUGAACUGGCCCAGGUCAGAAAUGAGGGUCAAAACUCCCAUGCUGACCAGUAGUGAGAUGGUGCCUGUGAAUAGCCACUGUACUCCAGCCUGGGCAACAUAGUGAGACCCCAUCUCUA
rfam:Otolemur garnettii contig126869, whole genome shotgun sequence.